UACGUAGGUGGCAAGCGUUGUUCGGAAUUAUUGGGCGUAAAGGGCGCGUAGGCGGUUGGUUAAGUCAGCUGUGAAAGCCCGGGGCUCAACCCCGGAGGGUCGGCUGAUACUGAUUGACUAGAGUACGGAAGAGGUAGCUGGAAUUCCCGGUGUAGCGGUGAAAUGCGUAGAUAUCGGGAGGAACGCCUGAGGCGAAGGCGGGCUACUGGGCCGAUACUGACGCUGAUGCGCGAAAGCCAGGGGAGCGAACGGG
rnacentral:rRNA from 1 species